rnacentral:rRNA from 1 species
AUACGUAGGUGGCAAGCGUUGUCCGGAAUUAUUGGGCGUAAAGCGCAUGUAGGCGGUGCCUUAAGUCUGUCGUGAAACUGCGGGGCCUAACCCCGUAUGGCGAUGGAAACUGUGGCACUUGAGUGCAGGAGAGGAAAGGGGAACUCCCAGUGUAGCGGUGGAAUGCGUAGAUAUUGGGAAGAACACCGGUGGCGAAGGCGCCUUUCUGGACUGUGUCUGACGCUGAGAUGCGAAAGCCAGGGUAGCGAACGGGAUUAGAUACCCCGGUAGUCCUGGCCGUAAACGAUGGGUACUAGGUGUGGGAGGUAUCGACCCCUUCCGUGCCGGAGUUAACGCAAUAAGUACCCCGCCUGGGGAGUACGGCCGCAAGGCUUAAACUCAAAGGAAUUGACGGGG